CCUACGGGAGGCAGCAGUCGAGAAUCAUUCACAAUGGGGGAAACCCUGAUGGUGCGACGCCGCGUGGGGGAAUGAAGGUCUUCGGAUUGUAAACCCCUGUCAUGUGGGAGCAAAUUAAAAAGAUAGUACCACAAGAGGAAGAGACGGCUAACUCUGUGCCAGCAGCCGCGGUAAUACAGAGGUCUCAAGCGUUGUUCGGAAUCACUGGGCGUAAAGCGUGCGUAGGCUGUUUCGUAAGUCGUGUGUGAAAGGCGCGGGCUCAACCCGCGGACGGCAGAUGAUACUGCGAGACUAGAGUAAGGGAGGGGGAACCGGAAUGCUCGGUGUAGCAGUGAAAUGCGUAGAUAUCGAGAGGAACACUCGUGGCGAAGGCGGGUUCCUGGACAUUAACUGACGCUGAGGCACGAAGGCCAGGGGAGCGAAAGGGAUUAGAUACCCUAGUAGUC
rnacentral:rRNA from 1 species